AAGUCGUAACAAGGUUUCCGUAGGUGAACCUGCGGAAGGAUCAUUAAAGAAUAUCGAGCUUCACAGCUCUUAUUCUCACCCUUUGUAUAUCAAACUUUGUUGCUUUGGCAGGCCCCUGCAUUUCUCGGGCCUGCCAGAGGUUAUAACCUCUAAUCUCUGCUGUCUGAGUACUAUACAAUAGUUAAAA
rnacentral:misc_RNA from 1 species